AAAUGACCUAAUGGUGAUUUCCUAUCUCUAAUUUACAUGAUAAUUUGAAUCUGAAAACAUUGGAAAAUAAUGAACCUGACUCUCCGAAUAGCAGGAGGGCAAGUGGGCCAUAGUCCCUGGCAUCUCUCUGCAGCUUUCUGUGGAGGGAGGAGAACUUCCGUGCAAUUCCGCAGCACUCCCCAAGAGGCUGCUGGUUUGUGGCUCAAACCUAGAUACAGCCAGGUUGCCCAGAAGAGGAUCACAAUAUCCCAGUCCUGGGAACCACCGAUCCUUCAGAGGAGGCAGCAGUAUCAUAUCACAGAUGUAAAAAUGAUGGAACAAAGGCUCUGAACAAAAGAAGACCUGGAGAAGAGGAGAAAGGAGGCUGUUUCAGUCCUCUUAGGAUAAUAAAUUGUCAGGAAAAUGUCUGAUUAAGGAAAAAACACAGGAUCCUAUAGUGAUACUUGGUGGGACACUAAUACAUAAAGAAUGCAAAGUUUAUGUUUUAUACAGUCGUAACAUCCUGAUUAUGGUAUACAAGUAAUAUAUGAUUGAGGCUGCUAAGAUAAACUUCUAGAGGUAAGAGAAAACUGCUGAGAGGAUUUUUAUUAGAAAGUUUGUUCUGAAUUUUUGUGCAGACUUCAAAAU
rnacentral:lncRNA from 1 species